UACGUAUGGUGCAAGCGUUAUCCGGAAUGACUGGGUGUAAAGGGAGCGCAGACGGUUGUACAAGUCUGAUGUGAAAGCCCACGGCUCAACUGUGGGAGUGCAUUGGAAACUGUAGAACUAGAGUAUCGGAGAGGCAAGUGGAAUUCCUAGUGUAGCGGUGAAAUGCGUAGAUAUUAGGAGGAACACCAGUGGCGAAGGCGGCUUGCUGGACGAAAACUGACGUUGAGGCUCGAAAGCGUGGGGAGCAAACAGG
rnacentral:rRNA from 1 species